AUUGAACGCUGGCGGCAUGCUUUACACAUGCAAGUCGGACGGCAGCACAGAGAAGCUUGCUUCUUGGGUGGCGAGUGGCGAACGGGUGAGUAAUAUAUCGGAACGUACCGAGUAAUGGGGGAUAACUAAUCGAAAGAUUAGCUAAUACCGCAUAUUCUCUGAGGAGGAAAGCAGGGGACCUUCGGGCCUUGCGUUAUUCGAGCGGCCGAUAUCUGAUUAGCUAGUUGGUGGGGUAAAGGCCUACCAAGGCGACGAUCAGUAGCGGGUCUGAGAGGAUGAUCCGCCACACUGGGACUGAGACACGGCCCAGACUCCUACGGGAGGCAGCAGUGGGGAAUGUUGGACAAUGGGCGCAAGCCUGAUCCAGCCAUGCCGCGUGUCUGAAGAAGGCCUUCGGGUUGUAAAGGACUUUUGUCAGGGAAGAAAAGGCUGUUGCUAAUAUCGACAGCUGAUGACGGUACCUGAAGAAUAAGCACCGGCUAACUACGUG
rnacentral:rRNA from 1 species